rnacentral:tRNA from 1 species
GCCGACUUAGCUCAGCUGGCAGAGCAACGCACUCGUAACGCGUAGGUCGCAGGUUCGACCCCUGCAGUCGGCAUCA